GGAGACCUUAGGAGGAGAGGGCAGAAGAUAUGGGUUUGAGGUCCUGAUGUACUCUGCCUGCUGUGUGAUCUUGGACAAGUUCCGACCCCUCUCAGGGGUUCAACAUCUUCCUACCUACAUGAAGUGAUGGGAUCAAACACCUCUGUGGCCCUCUCUAGUCUAUAUGUUUGCAUUUCUAACUGUAGAGCAUGAUAAAAAAAUAAAUCAGAAGUCAGUGAUCUUUAGGUUACUAGUCAGGAUGAAACUCAAAAGAUCUAUUUUUAAAAUUAUGAGUAUUGGGUGUGGUGAAAAUAUUCAUAUUUGGGGUCAGAGAGUUUUUCUAAUAGAAUCAAUUCUAGAGCAUUCAGACUUGCUCUCACCCCAAAGAGGAAGUGAAUGAAAGCUCUUCUUUCUCCUCUGCUGCUUUCUUUGUCCAUGGGAGUAUGCAAAUUUUUCUGGCAACACAGAAGACUGAACACAGGAAGCCUGAACCCCGUGAAGCCAUAAGGCUUAGCAUGGGUGUGGAGGGUGAUCAACCCCUCAUCUGUCAUUCAGAACUCCAUGCUGCAACACAGAGGGGAAAAAAAACCUUCUGCUCCCUGUUUCAACCUCAAGGGCAGAGAACACAGGCCGAGUUGCUGUUCUUGUCUCACAAUCUGGAGGCCAGAAGUCUGAAAUCAAGGUGUCGGCAGGAUUGGCUCCUUCUGGGAGCUGCGAGGGAAGUAUCUGUUCCAGGCCUCUCUCCUUGGCUUACAGAUGGCUGUUGAUAUGGUUUGGCUGUGUCCUCACCCAAACCCCAUCUUGAAUUGUAGUUCCCAUAAUCUCCACGUGUCAUGGAAGGGACCCGGGGGAGUUCUCUUCCUGCCACCACUUGAAGAAGGACGUGUUUGCUUCCCCUUCUGCCGUGAUUCUAAGUUUCCUGAGGCCUCCCCAGCCAUGCUGAACUAUAACAAUGCAGUGUCUUCAUUCAUAAUGGAUUGCAGUUCCCCACUCAGGAAGAGGACAUUUUUUUUAAAACUACAUGAUACAACUGAGAGCUUGGAAGCUAUCCAUGCAUAAGUUUUAAAACCCAGCAGCUUCAUGGUUUCCUCCUUCUGUUGGCCUGGCCAGUGGACACAGUGGUCACGUUCCUGGCAUGGAGAUGUCAUUCAUGGUCUCUCAGACCCAAGUGUUACCAGUGAAGGGUGUCCAGGUUCUUGGCGCUUUGAACAAAGAAUUGGACAAAACUCACAAACAAAGCAAGAAAAGAAAGAAGCAACAAAAGCAGAGAUGUAUUGAAAAUGAAAACACACUCCACAGGGUGGGAGCAGGCCGAGCAAGCAGCUCAAGGGCCCAGUUACAGAACUUUCUGGGGUUUAAAUACCCUUUAGAAGUUUCCAUUGGUUACUUGGUGUACACCCUAUGUAUAUGAAGUAGUGGCCUGUGAUCAGUCUGAUUGGUUGGAAGGGACCAAUCAGAAUGCAAACGUCUGAUUAGUUGUGGAAAGUGACCAAUUAGAGGCUGAAGUGAAGUUACAAAGUAAUACUCCCACGCAAAUGAAGACUUGGCCCACAACCAACCUGAUUGGUUGUGAGAGGGGACCAAUCAGAGGGACUUUCAGUUUUUCACCUGCAAUGCAGAAAAAGGGUGGCAGGUGAGGGGUGUUGCAAAGGGAGUAGCCUCUGGUCCUUUUGUUACUUGGGCACUUGGGCGUGGAAAGUGGGGGUUUUCCUUUUGAUUUAGUUCUAGGAAGUCAGCGUGAAUUGGCCUUACAUUCCCUGCCUCCAGACCCUAUUCUCCUGCCUCACAAGUGCUCCUAGGAGCUGUACAUGCCUGUCUUUGUCCCCAUGUAGUCAGCUCGUUACAGGUGGGUCCUGCUGGGUCUUUCGUUCUUGCUUCUCUGCUUCAAGAUGGCUAAUAAGUCCUGGUCCAGUGAGUCCCCAGUGCAGACAUAGAGCAGAAGGGAAGUGGGUCCAGUUGCAUUUCCUGCAGUUUAAUAAAGAACCCUGUGCUCUCUGGCCCAUUACCUAAAGCUGAUAUUGUGCUUGGAACGUGUAGUGUUAUCCAAUCCAGCUUUACCACUGCUAAAGCUGAUACCACGCUUUGAUCCUCUGCUUGCUCAUUUUGCCAAGUUCUUAACUGCGUGGAACUGGAAGGUGAGGGCUGGAUGAUUGAUUUUUCACCCUGCCCCCAAACUCCAACAACCGAAACCAAGGGUUCUUGAAGAGAGAGGGGCAGGGCAGCAACAGGGAGACUGAAACUUGGGGUGGGGGGGGGGCGGGGGGAGGGGGGCGGACGGAAUGUUUUUGAAGUGUGUGUUUGCCUAAGGUGUGUGUAGAAAGGUAGCUACUUUUCAGUCUCUGCCUGCCUUUAAUCCAUUACAAUGUCCUAAUUAAAAACAUUUAAAAAGCUACAUUGGAAAAUGAUCCCUGAGGCUAGAAUGCUGUUGGCACAGUGAAAAAGACGCAAUCAAUAAGUAAACAGGCAAUGUCAGCCCGGAGAGCUUUCAGAACAACAUGCCUACUCGGGGGAAAAAAAAUUACAAGUCGCUUUAGCCUAUUUAAAUAUUUUCCAAGAUCUUUGUUAAAUUUCAGGUAAUAAUAUUUCUUCCUUUGAACAAGCGUUGUAUGUUUGCCUUUGACUGAGAAUGGCCUAGGCUAGAGACCAUUUGGUAUUCAACUUGUGACUAUUUUAGUAUGGGGCUGGACCCCAAAAAUUCAUGCUCAAUGAAAUGAUUUUCACUUACUGAGAUGAAUUUACUUUUUGCUUCCUUCAGCAAUUCAUCAAUCUAAUGGAAGAAAGAGUAGCUAUCAUCAUAAUGAGAAUAGACUUCUACGAGUAUGAGUCAAUGUCAAUACUUUAUUUAAUAAUGCAAAUUCUAUUACUAUAUAUUUGGUCUCAAUCCAAAUUUGCUUUAAAUUGAGUUUCCUUGCCAUUGCACACUCCUAUCUUUCUGAACACACACCACCCCACACACACACCAUACACACUUGUUUCAUUGCGCUUCAUUUUAUUGCACUUCUCGAAGAAUGUGUUUUUUACAAAUUGAAGAUUUGUGGCAACUUUUCAUCGAGUGAGUCUAUUGGCAUCAUUUUUGCAAGAGCAUAUGCUCACUUCCUGCCUCUGUGACAGCAUUUUUUAGCAAUAACAUAUUUUUAAUGAAGGUAUGUACAUUGUUUUUUAGACAUAAUGCUAUUGCACACUUGACUAAAAUGUAGCCUAAGUAUAAUUUUUAUAUGCCAUGGGAAACUAAAAAAAGUGACUUACUUUAUUGUAAUAUUUGCUUUAUUACUUUGGUCUGGAACUGCCUCACACUAUCUCUGAAGUAUGCAUGUAUAGCUUUUCAUAACACAGAUAUCACAUUUGACCAGAUCCUAUUGUUACUGAACAAUGUUGAUGCUAACAUUGAUGAUAUCAAUCACUAUUACUGGAAU
rnacentral:lncRNA from 1 species